rnacentral:rRNA from 1 species
ACGAAGGGGGCUGGCGUUGCUCGGAAUCACUGGGCGUAAAGCGCACGUAGGCGGCUUUCUAAGUCAGGGGUGAAAUCCUGGAGCUCAACUCCAGAACUGCCUUUGAUACUGGAGAGCUUGAGUCCGGAAGAGGUGAGUGGAACUCCGAGUGUAGAGGUGAAAUUCGUAGAUAUUCGGAAGAACACCAGUGGCGAAGGCGACUUACUGGACACAUAUUGACGCUGAGGUGCGAAAGCGUGGGGAGCAAACAGGA